GAUGAACGCUGGCGGCGUGCCUAAUACAUGCAAGUCGAGCGAACGGACGAGAAGCUUGCUUCUCUGAUGUUAGCGGCGGACGGGUGAGUAACACGUGGAUAACCUACCUAUAAGACUGGGAUAACUUCGGGAAACCGGAGCUAAUACCGGAUAAUAUUUUGAACCGCAUGGUUCAAAAGUGAAAGACGGUCUUGCUGUCACUUAUAGAUGGAUCCGCGCUGCAUUAGCUAGUUGGUAAGGUAACGGCUUACCAAGGCAACGAUGCAUAGCCGACCUGAGAGGGUGAUCGGCCGCACUGGAACUGAGACACGGUCCAGACUCCUACGGGAGGCAGCAGUAGGGAAUCUUCCGCAAUGGGCGAAAGCCUUACGGAGCAACGCCGCGUGAGUGAUGAAGGUCUUCGGAUCGUAAAACUCUGUUAUUAGGGAAGAACAUAUGUGUAAGUAACUGUGCACAUCUUAACGGUACCUAAUCAGAAAGCCACGGCUAACUACGUG
rnacentral:rRNA from 1 species